rnacentral:rRNA from 1 species
ACGAACGCUGGCGGCGUGCCUAAUACAUGCAAGUAGAACGCUGAAGAGAGGAGCUUGCUCUUCUUGGAUGAGUUGCGAACGGGUGAGUAACGCGUAGGUAACCUGCCUUGUAGCGGGGGAUAACUAUUGGAAACGAUAGCUAAUACCGCAUAACAAUGGAUGACACAUGUCAUUUAUUUGAAAGGGGCAAUUGCUCCACUACAAGAUGGACCUGCGUUGUAUUAGCUAGUAGGUGAGGUAAUGGCUCACCUAGGCGACGAUACAUAGCCGACCUGAGAGGGUGAUCGGCCACACUGGGACUGAGACACGGCCCAGACUCCUACGGGAGGCAGCAGUAGGGAAUCUUCGGCAAUGGGGGCAACCCUGACCGAGCAACGCCGCGUGAGUGAAGAAGGUUUUCGGAUCGUAAAGCUCUGUUGUAAGUCAAGAACGGGUGUGAGAGUGGAAAGUUCACACUGUGACGGUAGCUUACCAGAAAGGGACGGCUAACUACGUGCCAGCAGCCGCGGUAAUACGUAGGUCCCGAGCGUUGUCCGGAUUUAUUGGGCGUAAAGCGAGCGCAGGCGGUUUGAUAAGUCUGAAGUUAAAGGCUGUGGCUCAACCAUAGUUCGCUUUGGAAACUGUCAAACUUGAGUGCAGAAGGGGAGAGUGGAAUUCCAUGUGUAGCGGUGAAAUGCGUAGAUAUAUGGAGGAACACCGGUGGCGAAAGCGGCUCUCUGGUCUGUAACUGACGCUGAGGCUCGAAAGCGUGGGGAGCGAACAGGAUUAGAUACCCUGGUAGUCCACGCCGUAAACGAUGAGUGCUAGGUGUUGGAGCCUUUCCGGGAUUCAGUGCCGCAGCUAACGCAUUAAGCACUCCGCCUGGGGAGUACGACCGCAAGGUUGAAACUCAAAGGAAUUGACGGGGGCCCGCACAAGCGGUGGAGCAUGUGGUUUAAUUCGAAGCAACGCGAAGAACCUUACCAGGUCUUGACAUCCCGAUGCUAUUUCUAGAGAUAGAAAGUUACUUCGGUACAUCGGUGACAGGUGGUGCAUGGUUGUCGUCAGCUCGUGUCGUGAGAUGUUGGGUUAAGUCCCGCAACGAGCGCAACCCCUAUUGUUAGUUGCCAUCAUUCAGUUGGGCACUCUAGCGAGACUGCCGGUAAUAAACCGGAGGAAGGUGGGGAUGACGUCAAAUCAUCAUGCCCCUUAUGACCUGGGCUACACACGUGCUACAAUGGUUGGUACAACGAGUUGCGAGUCGGUGACGGCGAGCUAAUCUCUUAAAGCCAAUCUCAGUUCGGAUUGUAGGCUGCAACUCGCCUACAUGAAGUCGGAAUCGCUAGUAAUCGCGGAUCAGCACGCCGCGGUGAAUACGUUCCCGGGCCUUGUACACACCGCCCGUCACACCACGAGAGUUUGUAACACCCGAAGUCGGUGAGGUAACCUUUUGGAGCCAGCCGCCUAAGGUGGGACAGAUGAUUGGGGUG